AUAGAGUUUGGAUCCAUGGCUCAGAUUGAACGCUGGCGGCAUGCCUAACACAUGCAAGUCGAACGCGAAAGGGCUUCGGCCCGAGUAGAGUGGCGGACCGGGUGAGUAACGCAUGAGAAUUUGCCUGGCAGAGGGGGAUAACCCGCGGAAACUCGGGCUAAUACCGCAUACGCCCUACGGGGGAAAGGGGGGCUUUUAGCUCUCGUUCCCAGAUGAGCUCACGUCCGAUUAGCUGGUUGGCGGGGUAAAGGCCCACCAAGGCGACGAUCGGUAGCUGGUCUGAGAGGAUGACCAGCCACACUGGGACUGAGACACGGCCCAGACUCCUACGGGAGGCAGCAGUGGGGAAUAUUGGACAAUGGGGGCAACCCUGAUCCAGCAAUGCCGCGUGGGUGAAGACGGCCUGCGGGUUGUAAAGCCCUUUCGGUGGGAAAGAAAAGCCAGUGGUUAAUACCCACUGGUAUUGACAGUACCCACAGAAGAGCACCG
rnacentral:rRNA from 1 species